rnacentral:rRNA from 1 species
AGAGUUUGAUCAUGGCUCAGAACGAACGUUGGCGGCGUGGAUUAGGCAUGCAAGUCGAACGAAUCCCACUGGUGUAGCAAUACAUUGGUGGGGGAAGUGGCGAAAGGGGCAGUAAAGCGUGGGUAACCUACCCCGGGGAUGGGCAUAGCCGUUCUAACGAGCGGGUAAUUCCCAGCGAUCCGGCGAGCGGGCAUCCGUUUGCCGGGAAAUGAGUUUCGCCUCGGGAGGGACUCACGUGCUAUUAGCUGGUUGGCGGGGUAACGGCCCACCAAGGCAAAGAUGGCUAGCGGGUGUGAGAGCACGACCCGCGCCACUGGCACUGAGACACUGGCCAGACACCUACGGGUGGCUGCAGUCGAGGAUCUUCGUCAAUGGGCGCAAGCCUGAACGAGCGACGCCGCGUGUGCGAUGAAGGCCUUCGGGUUGUAAAGCACUGUCGAGGGGGAUCAAGGGCAACUUGAGUGAUCCCUGGAGGAAGCACGGGCUAAGUUCGUGCCAGCAGCCGCGGUAAGACGAACCGUGCGAACGUUGUUCGGAAUCACUGGGCUUAAAGGGCGCGUAGGCGGCUCGCGAGGUCGGGGGUGAGAUCCCACGGCUUAACCGUGGAAGGGCCUUCGAUACCGGCGGGCUGGAGGAAGGUAGGGGUGCGCGGAACUUCUGGUGGAGCGGUGAAAUGCGUUGAUAUCAGAAGGAACGCCGGCGGCGAAACGGCGCACUGGACCUUUUCUGACGCUGAGGCGCGAAAGCUAGGGGAGCAAACGGGAUUAGAUACCCCGGUAGUCC